UACGUAGGGUGCAAGCGUUGUUCGGAAUCAUUGGGCGUAAAGGGCGCGUAGGUGGCUCUGUAUGUCUACCGUGAAAGCAUACAGCUCAACUGUAUUUUGUCGGUAGAAACUGCAGGACUUGAGGCUGGGAGGGGCUGGUGGAAUUCCCUGUGUAGCGGUGAAAUGCGUAGAGAUGGGGGAGAACACUCGUGGCGAAGGCGGCCAGCUAGACCAGUUCUGACACUGAGGCGCGACAGCGUGGGGAGCAAACAGG
rnacentral:rRNA from 1 species